rnacentral:rRNA from 1 species
GUGAGGUAACGGCUUACCAAGGCUAUGACGGGUAACCGGACUGAGAGGUCGAUCGGUCACACUGGAACUGAGACACGGUCCAGACUCCUACGGGAGGCAGCAGUGGGGAAUUUUGCGCAAUGGGCGAAAGCCUGACGCAGCGACGCCGCGUGGAGGAAGAAGGCCUUUGGGUUGUAAACUCCUUUCGUGAGGGAAAAAGUCCCGAGCAAUCGGGAUGAUGGUACCUCAAGAAGAAGCCACGGCUAACUCUGUGCCAGCAGCCGCGGUAAUACAGAGGUGGCAAGCGUUGUUCGGAUUUACUGGGCUUAAAGGGCGUGUAGGCGUCCUGAUAAGUCAGAUGUGGAAGCCUUGGGCUUAACCCAAGAAGUGCAUUUGAUACUGUCGGGAUUGAGUCGUACAUGGGAGGGCGGAAUUCCUGGUGUAGCGGUGAAAUGCGUAGAUAUCAGGAGGAAGGCCAGUGGUGAAGACGGCCCUCUGGGUAAUGACUGACGCUGAGGCGCGAAAGCGUGGGUAGCAAACAGGAUUAGAUACCCUGGUAGUCCACGCCCUAAACGGUGGGUACUAAGUGUGGGUGGCGAUAGUCAUCCGUGCCAAAGGGAAACCGAUAAGUA